rnacentral:tRNA from 1 species
GGGAGUAUAGUGUUAACGGUAGCACACUAGCCUUUUAAGCUAUAAGUCUAGGUUCGAAUCCUAGUGCUCCCA